UGAGCUUGAUGCAGGACGGGUCCAGC
rnacentral:piRNA from 1 species